GUCUCUCUCUGACAACUGUUCCCAUCGCUGUGUCAAACCAUCAGAACACAUGGCAGUGUCUGUGUGUGCUGGCUCUCUGCCAUGUGGCAGACUCACACAGUCGCACUGUGACUGUUGGCAUUGUGGUCGCCUCAGGAGGACGUUGAGUCUCAUGAGCACGGGCAUUGUGAAGCAAGAGACACACGACAUUAUCACUGUGCGCCAGAGGAGCAGAAGUUGCAGCACUUCGAGACCCAAGUCAGGAGUGCUCUGACAAAUUGUAUAGAGACAAAGCAGCUCUGCAGCUGCAGGACUGAGACUGAGCUGCUGUCCGUCUCUCAUGGCAACCCCAGACGGGAAAAGGAACCGCCCAGCCCAUUGGUGCCAGGGUGAUAUCAUCUGAUCAUCAACCUCAAACAUGGGCUCUGAGCCACACAGUGCAUUUUCAUAUAGUGGAAGGUCUUCAUCCUUCACUUUCCCCCUUUUAUAUUCAGAGCAUUUUUUCUGCAAAUAUUGAUCCUGCAGAACAAGUGAAAUUAGCUUGUCAUAUAAAAUGGGAAGUUGUGGGCAUUAUAUAGCUGAAUGGAAGCCAAGUAAAUUAGACUUAUUAACUUGAAUCAGUAAAAUCCUUUUUUUUUUCAACCUCAAGCUGAAUGUAUCUCCUCUUAUUGAUGCAGUCCAUUAGUUGUAAUAGUAGUCUGUCUGUGGAGUAUCAGUUGUCAUCCUACUUGUGCUUGAGUGCUCUUAAUUCCCUGCAGAGCCCAUCUGGACAAGCAUCUUUUCAACCAAUAUGACAAGGCACUACAAUGCAAAAUUUACAGGCGGGCAUCACGCAAGCUGGACAUUUAUGCAAUCAUUUCAAUUACUCCUGAAUUAACGUCUAUAUUCCCAACCCUGCUGCAGCAUAUUUAAUCAAAGUAGUCAAGCAAUGACAUGCCAGUGCAUUUACAUGAAGAAUUUCAAUGACAUAGAUCAAUGCAGAAUGUAAAAUAAUUAAAAAAAUAAAGUCUAAUUACAUAAAUGAAUAGCAGAGGACUUGCGAUCUUUGCCAAAACAGGAAUUGAUGUCCUCGUUUAACCUUAUUUUCCCUCUUCCAACACACAAUCAUUAAGAAACUAAACAAAGUAUGUGCUUGAGUUUGCAGAGGGGAUGCAAUGGAUUAAAUAUCCUCCACUCCAGCGCUCUGAAAAAAAAAAUAAAAUCCACAUUUCUCUUUUGAAGAACAAAUUAGAAAUGGGUCUCUGAAUGUCUGUGAAUAUCUGUGUAGGAGUGAGUGUGAGAAAGACAGACAACAUUAAUUUCUUUGUUGUAUCUUUGUUCUGCAUGUGCACAAGAGUGUUAACAUAAUAUUCCCACGAAGAAAGAAAAAACUGUAACCAUGUGUCACC